UACGUAGGGGGCAAGCGUUGUCCGGAUUUAUUGGGCGUAAAGAGCGUGUAGGCGGCCAUGCAGGUCAGCUGUGAAAACUCGAGGCUCAACCUCGAGACGUCGGUUGAAACCACCUGGCUAGAGUCCGGAAGAGGAGAGUGGAAUUCCUGGUGUAGCGGUGAAAUGCGCAGAUAUCAGGAAGAACACCCGUGGCGAAGGCGGCUCGCUGGGACGGUACUGACGCUGAGACGCGAAAGCGUGGGGAGCGAACAGG
rnacentral:rRNA from 1 species